GGCCGAACAUCCAUGAAGACUGACGCUCUGGAAACUGGAGACCGCAGCCUGAACCUGACCAACCUCCAACUGUCUGACAGCGCCACCUACACCUGCUCCAUCAGAAAACAUGGACAGGAACUGAGUCGGAGUGAUGUACAGCUACAGGUCAAAGAGCAGUGGUCAUACUGGGAGCCUCUCAUGUUUCUCCUGGUUCUGGUCCUUACAGUUUCCGGGGUUCUUUUAAUACAUUUUCGUCACUAUUUGAUAUCAGGCUGUGAAAGUGAAGACGGGGAUUCUGACGCCCUUUAAAGCACAGCUGACCUUCAUCAGGACAUCACAGAGGAGACGCUCAAACUACAAACACACAAUGAUCCACAGACACACACCUGCCUGAUAAACUGCUCUUAGUACAUCAUCACACACACAGGAUGUGAUUAUGCACAAAGUCUUCAAGCAACCAAUGAGAGCACAGGAUACGACUGACUGACCUCUGGUAGGAACCACAGAUGAGGACACAGGUACACACCUCACAGCAGCUGAAGCUUUCUGCCUCUCUGUAGACGGUGUUUGUUUACAUUGAAAGCAAAAAUCAGAUACUACAGAUGUCACGUGAAUUUAAAGGUUUUUCUGUGAGUGAACUGACUACAGCGG
rnacentral:lncRNA from 1 species